AGGCCGUAACACAUAGCAAGUCGAGGGGCGAGCACAAGGAGCAAUCUGAGGUGGCGACCGGCGCACGGGUGAGUAACACGUAUGCAACCUGCCUGUAAGCGGGGAAUAACCCGUUGAAAGACGGACUAAUACCGCAUAAUACUAAAUUACUGCAUGGUAAUUUAUUUAAACAUUUAUGGCUUACAGAUGGGCAUGCGCAUGAUUAGCUAGUUGGAGAGGUAACGGCUCCCCAAGGCAACGAUCAUUAGGGGUUCUGAGAGGAAGGUCCCCCCACACUGGUACUGAGACACGGACCAGACUCCUACGGGAGGCAGCAGUGAGGAAUAUUGGUCAAUGGACGAGAGUCUGAACCAGCCAAGUCGCGUGCAGGAAGAAUUGUCCUAUGGAUUGUAAACUGCUUUUGCAGGGGAAUAAAGUGCAUCACGUGUGAUGUUUUGUAUGUACUCUGCGAAUAAGGAUCGGCUAACUCCGUGCCAGCCGCCGC
rnacentral:rRNA from 1 species